rnacentral:rRNA from 1 species
GACCAAGAAGUCUAACAUGUGUGCGAGUCAUUGGGUAUAUUGUUGAAACCUAAGGGCGUAAUUAAAAUAACUAUUUUAUGGGAUUACAAGUGAAUUAAUUUUCAUUUCUUCAUCCCGGGGCGUUCUAUACGAACAUGGUGCAAGCAAUUGAACCCUCUGUUCAAGAGCGUACCUUGAGCAUACAUGCUGUGACCCGAAAGAUGGUGAACUAUACCUGAUCAGAUCGAAGCCAGGAGAAAUUCUGGUGGAGGAUCGAAACAGUUCUGACGUGCAAAUCGAUUGUCAGAAUUGGGUAUAGGGGCGAAAGACCAAUCGAACCAUCUAGUAGCUGGUUCCCUCCGAAGUUUCCCUCAGGAUAGCUGGCGCAAAGAAUUAUAUUGUAUAUAAUCUUAUCUGGUAAAGCGAAUGAUUAGAGGCCUUGGGGCCGAAACGACCUCAACCUAUUCUCAAACUUUAAAUGGGUAAGAACCUCAUCUUUCUUGAUCUGAAGAUAUUGGGGUUUAGAUAUAUUGUGCCCAGUGGGCCACUUUUGGUAAGCAGAACUGGCGCUGUGGGAUGAACCAAACAUGAUGUUACGGCGCCUAAAUUAAUGACUCAUAUUGAUACCAUGAAAGGCGUUGGUUGCUUAAAACAGCAGGACGGUGGACAUGGAAGUCGUAAUCCGCUAAGGAGUGUGUAACAACUCACCUGCCGAAGCAACUAGCCCUUAAAAUGGAUGGCGCUCAAGUCAUAUGCCUAUACAUCAUCGCUAGAAUAAAAAUUGUUGGCCAUUUUGGUCAUCAUUAUGAAAUUCUAGUGAGUAGGAGGGUACAAUGGUGUGCGCAGAAGUGUUUGGCGUGAGCCUGCAUGAAGCCGCCAUUGGCACAGAUCUUGGUGGUAGUAGCAAAUAAUCGAAUGAGAUCUUGGAGGACUGAAGUGGAGAAGGGUUUCGUGUGAACAGUGGUUGAUCACGAGUUAGUCGGUCCUAAGCUUUAUGCGAAAGCUGUUUAAUUUAUGUUACACAGAAAAUUUUUGUUGUACAUAAUUCAAUAAAAGCGAAAGGGAAUACGGUUCCAAUUCCGUAACCUGUUGAGUAUACGUUUGUUUAUUAAAAAUGGGUCUUAUUACACUCAUCCUGGCAACAGGAACGACCAUAGAGAAGCCUUCGAGAGACACUGGAAGAGUUUUCUUUUCUGCUAAACAAGCGUAUCACCAUGGAAGUCUUUUAUAGAGAGAUAUGGUGAAUGGCUUGGAAGAGCAUGACAUUUACUGUUGUGUCAGUGUUUUCUCCUUGGACCUUGAAAAUCUAUGGUGGGGCCACGCAAACUUCUCAACAGACCGUACCGAUAUCCGCAG